ACAACAAAAAAAAACACCCAAAAAUUACAAUUUCUUAAAGGCUCAAGAGUUUUAACAAUAAUACCGAAAGAAAGUAAAUAAAAAAGGCAACAAAAAGGGUAUCCUGUGAUUUUUCAAUAAAAUCAUUUUUUCUAGUAGAAAACGACGUCCGUGUUUUUAUAAAAUAAUGAAAUUAUGAAAUUGUACGUUUUCCUACGUUUUUUCCAUCUUAGAUAAGUGGUUUUAUUUAAAAAUGGCGUCGAAAAUCUAAAAUUAAUCUUUUAAAA